CCCAAAGAACACCAAUUUGGGCCACUAUUUGAAAAGAGUGGGUUUUUAGAAUAAUUUGUCACCGUUAAUCGGAUCAGUGAGUUGUUAUAAGGCCCGGCACCGAAUGUGGGUGGCCCAAUGCUGAAGUUGUUGGUUUAGUUUCCAAUAUUUACGAUUUCUACCCCUAUAGGACGUCUCUUGUCAGCAAAUACCAUCCCUCUCACAUGGCUAUAGGGUUUAGGUAUGGCAGCAAGCUUCCAAUAUAACUAAUGGACCCAGAUCAACCUUAUAUCACCAAAACAAAAUUCUUGCGAAGCAUCAGAUCUGAGAAGAACCUAUCUUUGGCGUCUGCCAAUCUCCUUCAUCACCAUGUGAGUUUAUGCUUAUCUACUCUCAACAGCCGUCCUUUCGAUCUAAUGCUACUGUAAGUUCCUUUUUUCAAUUUAUUGAACCUAAUAACUUCUACUUCAACAAUUUUCAAGGAAUCGAAUUUAAUUCAUAGUAUAUACAUAUAAACCCUAACUUUCUCUUCUAGUUUAUUGAAUAACCGGUUCCCUUGGCUGCGUUUGAGUGUUCGCAGGCAAGAGGUUUGUUCUUCAUUUUUCUGAUUUUAUUUUUGUUUAUUUUUGAUUUUGAUAUAGAACCCAGAAAAGUAGCAGAGAUACUAUGCAUAUAGGUCUAUAGCAAGCUUAUAGAACAAUUUUGAUUACAAAAAUUUAUAUAAACUUGGAGUUUUACUUGUUGGUAGAUCCAUAGUUUGAAUAUUAAUUUUAUUUUUUUUAGGUGGAUAUGUCUGUUUUUGCUCAAUAAUUCAGCUGGUUCUUUUUUUUCUUUUGCAUCUUAGAACCGGAGUUCAAUUAUAUUAAAAUACUCAGUGACUUUCUCUUCCUUUCUCUAUUGUUUUUUGUUUCACAAGUGAGCAUAAAUGACUAGUUUUCCAUACUUGUUUAUUGUGAAAACACCUGAUGUAUGAAUGAUGGGGUUGUUUCUGCUUGCCACCCAUACCACUGUUUGUUUAGAUAUCUUACACAUGGAAUACCAAAUCCCAACAUAGUGGUAGCUACAGUUACUGGGGGCUGAAGAAACCCAAUUCAAAGUUGUUGCCUUUGGACACUAAAAGGGUCCCCAUCUUUACUUGUUGUUCAUUCCAUGUUGUGGUGUCCUUGGAAGUGCACAGUUGGAAAAGGAGGAUGAGAGGCAAAGCUUUCAGUGACAAUUUCUGGGAAUUUGCAGGUGUGAAAAACUCAAAUGUAGUUUAAAUUUCACUCUAAGUUUUUUUUUUUAUGUGGAUUGGUGUGUACACAUUGAUAUUGUUUGAUCUAGUUGACAUUUUUGUUUAUAGUUGUAAUUUUGUCUUGUAAUGUAGACUUUGAUUAUUCAAUGGCUUUUGUGUUGAAAAAUAGACAAAGAAAUGAUUAUUGAAAGGCCAACUUGAGUAGAAAGAUGAAGUUUUAGCUUAAUUACUAACUUCUUGACUAAUCAGAACAUUGUGGUCUUCAUCAAUGUGAACCGGAAGGAGGGAACAUCUAGCUAAGAAAAAGCUCCAUUGUAAGUAUGAAUUCUAGAAUAGCUCAUCCCGUUGAGACUCUGAUUCUUGUCUAGUUUUAAAAUUUCAAGCUGUGAUAAAGCAGUUUGGUAGAACUGGUUAUGAAAGCUCAGAUGUAAUGGUGAUAUAUGAGGUUGAGAGGCAGAGACAUCAACAGCUUGAGAAACUGUAUAGGUCUACUCGUGCAGGAAAGGUAUACAUGAACUUUGUUUACAAUGUAGAAUUUUGACUAUAGUUGAAAAUUUUGUAAUACUCAAUGUGAUGAUAGUUAGUGUUAUGAUCUCACAUUUUGGGAAAGAACAAAGUUUGAUUUGAUAGGUGACAUGACAAUGAAACCUGCUAGGCAUAUAUAGGUGAUUAUUCGUUUUGCUAUCUUGGAUCACAAGUCUGGGAACAUCUUGUCCUGCUAAUCUAAAAUGUUUGAUUUUUUUGAGGUAUUUUUAUUUCUCUUUGGUGCCUAACUUAUUCUAUUUGUUAAACUCAAUUUUCAUAAUUCUUAUGCUCAGGAUUUUCAUAAAGAAAUUGCACAUGCAGCUGAAGCAUUGACAGCGAUAGGACAUAAGCAUAUUGAAGCAGGUUAAUGUACGGGUGGCUUUGUUAGAAGGGAAUUAAUGGAUUCUAUUUUGAAACAGAUUGAGAACCGGGAACGAUCAUUCACGCAAACAAAUGGAAUGAACAACCUCAAAUUAAAAGGUAGGAAUGUCCAUUUUUUUUAUAACUGUGGUUGUUACAAGUUAUGAUUUUUGUUCAUUGAUAUGUAUUUGAGUAUGAAGCCGAUGAAGUGGCAUAUGACAAACUGAAGCUUAAUGACUUUCUGAUCAAACUGUGAUGUACGAAUUAACCUGCUCAAGACCUUGAGACAACAAUAUCGUGCAGUUUUUCCUUAUUGAGUUGUACUAGUGAAAGAAACAUCAACGUAUUGACCAGGAAUGUUUACUUAUGGUAGGUAUAGGCUUGUAAGUUGUAAUAGGUUUCUUUUUUAGGUAGUGCAAUAAGUUGUAGUUACAUUUGUAACAAAUUGUAGAUUUUGAUUGAAUGAUGAUGUAUAUGAAUAAAUUGGUAGACAUCAUUCAUGUAUUCAACUAUUUACUGUUUUUUGUUUUAUUAUUAUUAUUAUUAUUUUUUAA